CUGGUCCCUGGAGAAGGUGGGUGGCUUCCAUAAAUGAACAAAGAAUACUGGUUCCAGUGAACGAGUCUGGUGGCUCAGUGCUGCAGCUUCCUUGGAGCUCUGGCUCCACACCAUUCAGAUUUCUGGGGACCAUCCUCUGGACUCCCCACUGUGACAUUCCUUGGGAGGCUGUGCACUUCCACUUUGGAAGGACUUUUCUUUUUCCUUCUUCUCGUCUUUAGACUCUAGCCAGGCAGGGGCCCCCAGUGGCUGCAGCGUCCAAAAGCCCCCUGCCCUGGGCCUCCCUUCCCAGGCUGUCCUCAGUGUGGCACAGCCCAGUGGCUAUUCCAAGAGCAUCCGAAGACCUGCAGCAGUGCCUGCCUAGCAUUUUCUCAGGCAAGGCCCCAGACAAACCUGACUACAGAAAGUGAGGUUCUUUUGGGCAGAAGAAAGCAGAAAAGCAGCUCUGUAGGCACCAGGGUCCCUGUGUUGGGGCUCACCAAAGUUGAGGCGCUUCAUUUCUUAAUGCUGAAGACCUCAUUUAAAUGAGACCAAGACUAAGUUUCCCCCCCGCCCCACACACCCCUUCGCCUUACUUUCGGACUCCGGUCCAUUAUGAAGAGGGACAUGCUAGUGAACCACUCUAGUUGACAAGUAUGAAAUCAUUUAGAAUGAAGAAAUGUCGGUUAAAACAUCAGCACAACAGAUAACUGAGUAGGUCAACUAGUUGGAUGCGGCGGCCACCUUCAAAGUCUAGUUUCUAUGGGGCACUUCUGCGCAAGUGGGAGGGUAAAGUUAAAUACAAGGUCACGGAGGACGGGGCGCAUUGGCUACAGGUACAGACGGGGGACAGCGGGAUCUUGGAAAUAUUCUCAGUCCCAACGCGAACCCCGGAGUUUGUCCUGUGGCCAGGGAUGGUGUCUUCCUCUGCAUAGACAACCUCUCCGGGUUGCCUCGCGCACAGACUUCUUUUUUUCCCUUGGUUUUAGGGACUUUAUUUUGAGGGCUAGGCUCCGGAGUGCCACCCCUUAGCUCCCGAGGCCGGGCUGGGCGCCAGGCGUCCGUGGCACGGCGACCAGCAGAAAGGCGGCCUCCCCACCGGGGCAGGACAGGACCGUCCCUUCGCCUGACACGCCGACGGCGGCCUCCGGGAGGCUCCGGGUUGGCCCGCACAGCCCGAGCUCACAGCCCGAGCUCCCUCAGCACCGGAGGGACGCGGCUCCGGGGCUGUAUGCAAAUUAAGCGACUGCCCAGGUCUCGUCUGAUUGGAAGGGCUGCGGGGCGGAGCAGCCAAUGGGGCUCCCGGACUGCGCGGAGCCCGCGCCCCAUUGGUGAGCGCAGCAUGCCGCGGGCGCUCCCGGUAUAUAUAUUUUCCCGCCGGCGCCCGGCUCGCGUUAGUGCGGCCGCGGGGAGCAGGGAGGCGGGGCGUGCGCCCGGUGAGGGUGUCCUGGUCCUUCCGCUACGGCCGGGAGCCCAGCCUGCAGCCCGCCUUCCGCGGCCGCCAGGGGCCCAGCCUGCAGCUCGCUUUUCGCUCUGGAUGCUCAGCCUGCGCGCGGGGCGGAGACCUGCGCAACAUCCAGGCAGUGCCGCUGCUAGAGGUCUCCCGGCCUCAUCCCCUCUUGUCCUGCCUUUGUGCAGCCAAAGUCUGAGGGCCAGGGCUGGCGCAAGAGCUAACAACCGCCCUGGGCCCGGACCUCUUGUCUCGGAGCAGGGGCCGCGGCUCGCUGAGCUCCCGACCCCACCCCACCCCUACCCCCACCCCCGGUACAAGCCCUACGGAAUCCACCCUGGUCCUCCACGGCCGGCCGCCGCCCCUCUUCAGCAAGACUCCUCCGGGGCUUCCUCUUCUUGGGAACUUUGCCGGUCCCGUAAAACUUAGGUUACGUGUUUGUCGGUUUUUGUCCUGUGACUGUCUCUGGCAGUUUCAUUUUGAGACGCAGCCAGGGACUCGGGAGGAGUGCUUCCAGUUACCCACUUCCUGUGCUUUCGCCUGGUGGUGUCAGCGUCACAGCGGAGAGCCCCGCGCGGGUGGAGUCCGGGUCUUUCCACGUGGCCAUGGCCUGGAACGCUCUGGCACAAAUGGUCCUAGCGGUGAGACCUACUCUACUCUCCGAGGGGCGAGGGCGAGGGGCCCAGACCACCUGUGCCGUCAGUCCGCACGCCCUGGCUGGCGGGAGGCCGGCCCAUGCAACCCCGAAAAUGUGUGAGCUUCCAGGAUAGAUUUUGGUGCCCAAGGGCCACCCCUGGUUUUAGCAGGAUGCAGAAAUUGCAGGUGACCUUCCUCUGGACUGCCAACCGUCAGGCCGGGUCACACACAGUCUGAGCUCUUCCAGAAUCUUCUAGUCACAUGGGCCACGGACUGGCCAGUUCUGGAUGGAGACAGAGGCUGCGAAAUCUAUGGGUGCCUGUUGGCUCAGUUCUAUAAGAAACCUAGGUCCACAGGUCAACUUGCCAGCCCCCAAAAAGCAGUUUUAAAAGAACCCAAAUUGUUCUGGGGCCUUGCUCCUGCCUGGUGCUCCUGGGCGCCUUAUGUCCUGGUUGCUGCUAUGCCUUCUGCACCUUGCAGGCAGAUGCCCAGACCCUAAACUUCCUGAGAAGUUUGUGCUGACCUGUGUGUCUCACCUGCAGGCAGCCAGACUGCCUUGAGUAGAACUAUAGUCCAUUGCUGCCAGAACACCACUGCAAGUGUUCAUGCAUUUAAGAAGAGGCUAUUGGAGCUUGGAGGCGCUACGUGACCCAUCAGAGCAGCAGAGCCUAAUGGGUGACGUGCAACAACUAAGCCUGUCUGUCCAUGGUGGGUGCGUUGCUGAGUCCUCAGCAGUGCUACGUGUUUGUCACCCUCAGGGAUCCCACUGAUAAUUGCCUUACAUGAUAGGGUCAUGGGACCAUGGGCUCUCAUCCAUCAGAAAUGGAAUCGAAUCCUCACAGGAGAUUUUGGCAGAGACCAGACUCUCUGGGAAGGUAUCUGGUCUGGAUCCAGGGGAUAAGAAGCUCCUGCCUGCCACACAUGUGUAUAGAAUCCCAGAUGCCUGUGUCUGUCUUCAAACGCCUCAUGCCCUGAGCAGGUAUCUGUGGCUGAACAUGUGUAAAUGAAGCCGUCAUGCCCUGGGUCUUCAACUGACACGGUGAUGUAUCUCUCAACAACCCUGAAGGAAGUAUUUUAGGAAAUACACAAUGAUGUGUCGCACAAGAAGGAAAGAUGGCUUGUGUCCUGAGGACAUUUGUGUACUAUUUGAAAUAAAGGGGGAAGCAUGUAGAAAAGGUUUAGGAACACGGUGACCUGGAAUUAGAA